rnacentral:lncRNA from 1 species
AUGGCAGAACUAAAGGGAGUGUGUUCCCGCCUUGAGGAAGAUGCAAGUAACGAGGAACAAUUUGGCCACUUGCUGCAGCACUGUUGCCACAAAUUGAUGUCCCUACAGGAAAGGAUGUCAGCCUGUCAAGCCCAGAAAGAAAACUCAGCAGGAACAAACACUUAUAUAGCAACUCUGGAGGUUUUGCUACAAGAAGUAACAGGCACUGAAAAAGAUCUUUUUCAGCUUGUAACUCUCAAGGACUCCAUUACAGUCAGUUUAACAGCUGAGGCCCGAAUAAGUCUGACCCAACAAGUCAGCAACCUUCAAAACCACAAGAGGGCACUAGAGAGUAAAAUCGGAGAGACUCUGGCACAGCUUAAAGUGAACAGUGAUGAAAGCAUUCAGCGAGUUAAAAAAGAAGCCUUGUAUGUGCACACAGCUCUUAAAGACCUGGCUGAAGGUGUCGAGAAUCUUUCCGAUACCCAUGAAGCUUUGCCUGAUAUCAGCCAGCUGAAACAACAGUGGUGUAUGAUACAGGUAACAUGAACAUAUACUUUGAAAUGUUGAUAUAUAUCUGAAAAAUACAAAUGGGAAAAAGACAGCUCACAAUAUUUACACAGAAGGACUUGUGUGUCUCUCAGAGCUGUGAUAGCAGGCUGACAGAGCUGGCAGCAAGAGCUGAAGACCUGCAGAGGACCAGCGAGUCGACCAGCACACAGGAAGCCCUUCCUGCAGAUAUCAUUUUGACCGUCAGUGCCAUUUCUGAAGACCUUGGCAGGUGCUUUACCUCAUUCUGAAAUGGAACAAUUAACCAUUCCUGUAUUUAUACAUCUUAUCAAAUGAAUAUGCAGUGCUAAUUGUGAGAAAUGGUUUGUUAACUUUGACUUUUAGAAAUUUCUGGGGACUUUAAGACUACUCUUAAAGUAAAAUGAAGAUGAAGAUAUUAAUUUAGUAUCAAGAAAACAAUUAAAGGGGCUUACCAAAAGAUAACAAGAAAAGACUUGUGUGAAACUUGCAUAAUUUGCAGCAGAAUGUAACUUGGGUUGAUGGUGAACAUGACUUCGUUCAUCAUCAGUAUUGUUGCAGUGAGAUAUAUGAGGGUUUACACAUCCUCUGAAUAUGUGAGGGAAUAUGAGGGUUAUUUUGAAAAUGCACUUGUUCUAAAUACUGUAUGGCUCAUUCACUGCUUGUGGUCUGGCUCCAGCCUCAGGUCUGUUUUUUUGCAAAAGAAGCAGGAUUUUGCAGAAAACACUGCAAACAGAGUGAGAGAGCUCACCAACCAGAUGCAAGAGUGGAGCCAAAGUGUACAAGAUGAACCAUCAACACAUAGCCAGGUAAAGCUCAGCAUGUUCAGUAUGUCUUCUGAUACAUGGAAUUAAUUAAUUUAUGAAUUAAUAAACAAAAGUUUGAAAACAAAUGUAAGCAUUGGCUCAUAUGCACAGUUAAAUCUUUUGUUGUCUGUCAUUUGUUUUUUAAAAUCUGCAAAUGAAUGCCUGAGUGAAUUACCAAAAGUAUUCACUCACCCAUCCAAAUCAUUGCAUUCAGGUGUUCCAAUCACUUCCAUGGCUAAAGGUAUAUAAAAUCAUGCACCAAGGCAUGCAGAUUGCUUCUACAAACAUUUGUAAAAGAAUGGUUUGCUCUCAGGAGCUCAGUAAAUUUCAGCGUGGGACUGUGAUAGAAUGCAACAUGUAUAGUCUUGAAAUUUCCACAAUACUAAAUAUUCCAGUUAUCUGGUAGUGGUGUAGCAAAGAGGAAGUGAUUGGGAAUGACAACAACUCAUCCACAAAGUAGUAGGACACGUAAUAUCCUCGAGCGAAAUCAGCAGAUGCUGCAUAGUGCGCAGAGAUCGCUAGCUUUCUGCAGAGUCAAUCCUAAAGACCUUUAAACUUCAUGUGGCCUUUGGAUUAGCUAAAGAACAUCCGAGCCUUACAUCACCAAGCACAAUGCAAAGGGUCAGGUGCAGUGGUGUAAAACAUGCCGCCACUGAGAGGGGGACUGGUGGACAUAGGAUUGUGGUGUGGAGUUAUUUUUCAGGAGUUGGGCUCGGCUUCUUAGUUCCAAUGAAAGGAAUGGCCUGUAUUUGUAUAGCGCUUUACUAGUCCCUAAGGAUCCAGGAUCCGUUUUACACAUUCAGUCAUCCACCCAUUCACACACUGGUGAUGGUAAGCUACAUUGUAGCCACAGCCACCCUGGGGCGCACUGACAGAGGCGAGGCUGCCGGACACUGGCGCCACCAGGCCCUCUGACCACCACCAGUAGGCAACGGGUGAAGUGUCUUGCCCAAGGACACAACACCCGAGACUGUCGGAGCCGGGGCUCGAACCGGCAACCUUCCGAUUAUAAGACGAACUGCCAACUCUUGAGGCACGAUCGCCCCAUUACGCCCCAGGAACUCUUACUACUUAAGAAUACCAAGAUAUUUUGGGCAAUUUCAUGCUCCCAACUUUGUGGGAACAGUUUGGGGAUGAGCCCUUCCUGUUCCAACAUGUCUACAAGGUCCAUAAAGACAUGGAUGAGCAAGUUUGAAAUGGAAGAACUGGCCUGUACAGAAUCAUGACUUCAACCCGAUAGAACAUGUUUGCGAUGAAUUAGAGCAGAGACGGCAGCCAGGGCUUCUCAUCCAACAUCAGUGUCUGCCCUUGGUCAAAUAUGUAUAUGUAUAGAACCUAUAUGUGUUAACACGCCUUCUU